UACGGAGGGAGCUAGCGUUGUUCGGAAUUACUGGGCGUAAAGCGCGCGUAGGCGGCUUUGUAAGUUAGAGGUGAAAGCCCGGGGCUCAACCCCGGAAUUGCCUUUAAAACUGCAUCGCUAGAAUUGUGGAGAGGUAAGUGGAAUUCCGAGUGUAGAGGUGAAAUUCGUAGAUAUUCGGAAGAACACCAGUGGCGAAGGCGACUUACUGGACACAUAUUGACGCUGAGGUGCGAAAGCGUGGGGAGCAAACAGG
rnacentral:rRNA from 1 species